rnacentral:rRNA from 1 species
UACGUAGGGACCAAGCGUUGUUCGGAUUUACUGGGCGUAAAGGGCGCGUAGGCGGUGUUGUAAGUCACUUGUGAAAUCUCCGGGCUUAACUCGGAACGGUCAAGUGAUACUGCAGCACUAGAGUGCGGAAGGGGCAAUCGGAAUUCUUGGUGUAGCGGUGAAAUGCGUAGAUAUCAAGAGGAACACCUGAGGUGAAGACGGGUUGCUGGGCCGACACUGACGCUGAUGCGCGAAAGCUAGGGGAGCAAACGGG